GAUGAACGCUGGCGGCGUGCCUAAUACAUGCAAAUCGAGCGAACGGACGAGAAGCUUGCUUCUCUGAUGUUAGCGGCGGACGGGUGAGUAACACGUGGAUAACCUACCUAUAAGACUGGGAUAACUUCGGGAAACCGGAGCUAAUACCGGAUAAUAUUUUGAACCGCAUGGUUCAAAAGUGAAAGCCGGUCUUGCUGUCACUUAUAGAUGGAUCCGCGCUGCAUUAGCUAGUGGGUAAGGUAACGGCUUACCAAGGCAACGAUGCAUAGCCGACCUGAGAGGGUGAUCAGCCACACUGGAACUGAGACACGGUCCAGACUCCUACGGGAGGCAGCAGUAGGGAAUCUUCCGCAAUGGACGAAAGCCUGACGGAGCAACGCCGCGUGAGUGAUGAAGGUCUUCGGAUCGUAAAACUCUUUUAUUAGGGAAGAACAUAUGUGUAAGUAACUGUGCACAUCUUGACGGUACCUAAACAGAAAGCCACGGCUAACUACGUG
rnacentral:rRNA from 1 species